UACGGGGGGGGCAAGCGUUGUUCGGAAUUACUGGGCGUAAAGGGCUCGUAGGCGGCCAACUAAGUCAGACGUGAAAUCCCUCGGCUUAACCGGGGAACUGCGUCUGAUACUGGAUGGCUGGAGUUUGGGAGAGGGAUGCGGAAUUCCAGGUGUAGCGGUGAAAUGCGUAGAUAUCUGGAGGAACACCGGUGGCGAAGGCGGCAUCCUGGACCAAUACUGACGCUGAGGAGCGAAAGCCAGGGGAGCAAACGGG
rnacentral:rRNA from 1 species